rnacentral:rRNA from 1 species
UAGUAGUUAAGGUAAAGGCUUAAUUAGUUUUAUGCACGUAGUCGUAACUGAGAGGUUGAUCGGCCACAAUGGGCAUGAGAAAGCCCAUGAUAUAUAUAUUACAGCAGUGAGGAAUAUUGGUCAAUAGCCUAACGGCUGAACCAGCAACUUGAAAGAAUGUAUAGUAUCAACUAAUUGCAUUUUAUAUGUAAGAUCGGAUAUAACGAAUAAAAUUCUAAAUAAAUUAUGAUAAUGACAUUUUUUAUUUAUAUGUCUUGACCAAAUUACGUGCCAGCAGUCGCGGUAAUACGUAAGAGACUAGUGUUAUUCAUGUUUAAUGGGUUUAAAGGGUACUUAGACUGUAAAUUAAACCUUAAAUGGAACUAAUUUACUAGAGUUACUAUUAAAGAGGCUAUAAAGUACUAAUGGUGUAAAGAUAAAAUUUUAUAAUACCAUUUCUCAGUAGAGAAAUAAUGGCACAGGUGACGGCGAAGGCAUCCUCUUAGUAGAUAACUGACGUUAAGGGACGAAAGCUUUAAAUCACAAAUAGGAUUAGACACCCUAGUAGUUGAAGCUGUAAAUUAUGAGCGCCAUAGAUUAUGUUUUAUCCUAUAAACGAAAGUGAAAGCGCUUCACCUCAAGAGUAAUAUGGCAACAUUGGAACUGAAAUCAUUAGACCGUUUCUGAAAUCAGUAGUGGAGUAUGUUGUUUAAUUCGAUAAUCCGCGAAAAACCUUACCACAAUUUGAAUACAUAUACCCUAUGUAUAUUUACAAGCGUUGCACGGCUGUCUUCAGUUAAUGUCGUGAGACUUUGGUUAGAUCCAUUUAAUUAACGUAAACC